rnacentral:rRNA from 1 species
ACGCACGCUGGCGGCGUGCUUAACACAUGCAAGUCGAACGGAAAGGCCCUGCUUGCCGGGUGCUCGAGUGGCGAACGGGUGAGUAACACGUGGGUGAUCUGCCCCUUACUUUGGGAUAAGCCUGGGAAACUGGGUCUAAUACUGGAUAGGACCAUGCUGUAGGUGGUGUGGUGGAAAGAUUUUUUCGGUAAGGGAUGAGCUCGCGGCCUAUCAGCUUGUUGGUGGGGUAAUGGCCUACCAAGGCGUCGACGGGUAGCCGGCCUGAGAGGGUGGACGGCCACAUUGGGACUGAGAUACGGCCCAGACUCCUACGGGAGGCAGCAGUGGGGAAUAGUGCACAAUGGGCGCAAGCCUGAUGCAGCGACGCCGCGUGGGGGAUGACGGCCUUCGGGUUGUAAACUCCUUUCAGCCAUGACGAAGCCUCUUUUGGGGUGACGGUAGUGGUAGAAGAAGCACCGGCUAACUACGUG